UCCCCCUGCUCCAGACCACGCCUCUUCCGCCUCGUCCCCUGGUUCCCAUGACCCCACUUCCGGUUCCCACGCUUUCGGUUCCGGGUGGGGGGGAGCGUGGGAACCCCGAUCCACCCCAGUCCCUACCUGCCUUCUCGGCCGCACCUGUCACCUGUACCCCGUGGCGGGGGGGCAGGCCCCUUGCACAGUGGUCCCCCAUCCCCCAGCAGACCAUCAAAGAGCUCUGCAAGGCCAAGAAGGGGUUCGGGAUGGAAAGCGAAUACUUCCGAGGCUUAUUGAAGGCAACCCUUUCCUCCAAAGAAUAUGUCCCCGCGGACAUUCAAACUCUCUUCUCCUGUUUAAUCACCCACGGAGAUUUCCUCAUCUGGGAGUCCGAGUGGAAGCGGGAGAUCAGGGAGGUGUUGCCUGACCUCUGGGCCAAUGCAGACAGCUCUAGGGAUGAGGAUGGGGCUGUAAUAUCGCUAGACCACUUGUGCAGGGAGGGGGAUUGGAAAAUGGGGAUGAAGCAAGCGGAAAAAAUCCCCAGAGAGGCGCUGCAGGUUGGCACCAGGGCGGCGGAGAAGGCGUUUUUUAAGUUAAGACCCAGCAGUACGGCGAUUAACUUCUUGUCCCUAAAGCAGGAACCCCUAGAACCUUUUGUCGCGUUCGUGGACCGCUUGCACCACGUGAUGGAGGCUCAGGUCCCGGAUGAGAAACUGAGAGAGGGGAUGCUUGCUAUGGUAGCAAGGCAGAAUGCAAACGACGCUUGCAGGCAAGCAAUCUUCAGUCUGCCCCUGGACCCUGAGCCUACCCUUCAAAGCAUGCUGCAGGUCUGCGCGAGGAAGGUGACGGUUCCUGCUAAGGACAUUCCAAGGACUCCUAAACCACCAACAAAGAGAGUGGCUUUUGCUGCAGCCGUGACGCCGCCAACCACCCCUUCUCCGGACCGCCGACCCACAGGAGCACCCCUGAGGAGUCACCAUCACCAACAGGCCUGCAAUUUGUGUAGGCAGAAGGGACAUUGGGCUUCCCAAUGCCCUAUGAGGGACGAAUUUUUUAAAUACAGGCAGCGACAUCAGGGGAGGAGUGCCCCCAACCCUGGGGGAAAACAAAAAAACUGAGUCAUCAGCGCAGUCCCUCCCUGCGCGAGGACAUAAGUAUGGUGGGUUUCAUAACAUCAGAGGAGGGGAGGGACAAACACCUGCAAUGCCCACCUGAAGACAUUUCACUGGACUGGACACAACGGACUAUGGCUGACGAACCAACCUAUAUGAGGGAGGACGUGGAUUUCAUCUCCACUGCCUGGCUGGGUCGAGACCCGAACCAGCCCAGGCCAAUACUUAACACCGUAUCUAAUUUCUCCCCAUAUAGGUUGGCCCUGACCGAGGCUCUGCAUCUAAGGGACAGUGACUGGCAUUCCAUCGCCGUCGACCCCGAGGACCCAGGAACCUGGAGGAACCUCCACAGUAAAUAUAUCGUUCUUGGGGACACAAAAGUCACGCCUCUCGAAGUCACAAUUGCACCAUCCCUGACAUCCAAGAACACUGAGCAAUUGGUGGUGUGGCUGCACUGCUCCCAUCCUCCGGUCUUCCUUCCUAA
ensembl:lncRNA